rnacentral:lncRNA from 1 species
AGAGAAUGAGUCAUACUUUGCCACUGAUCAGUGGGUUAGAGCACCCGACUGCUCUUCCGAAGGUCCAGAGUUCAAAUCCCAGCAACCACAUGGUGGCUCACAACCAUCCGUAACAAGAUCUGACUCCCUCUUCUGGAGUGUCUGAAGACAGCUACAGUGUACUUACAUAUAAUAAAUAAAUAAAUCUUUAAAAAAAAAAAAAAAAAAAAAAGAGAAAGGCUAGUACUUGGCUGCUGCUAAUUGUCUGGAGACGUGCAUCCAGGAUUGCCAGGGCUUCUGAUUCGCUCCAAGGGAAACUUGAGUAGCUUCAAGGUUUUUGUUGCUUUUUAUGCCUCACAGUAGAAGACUGUGUUCAUAAAUGCUUUAAUAGUCUUAUAGUCUCUGUCUAUUUGCAGUU